rnacentral:misc_RNA from 1 species
UUUUUUCUUAGGAAUUUAUAGUUUUGAUUUCAAACAGGAUAUAUACAUUUACUGGAAAGAAUCAACAAAUGAAUAAAAAAAUGUGGUCUAAAAAUGAUAAGAACAACUACAUUCUUCAAAUUCCUACAAGCUUAUCCCUGAAUUUCCCUUUUAAAAUCAUAAUUAGAGGAAGAGAAAAGUAAAGAAAUAUCAAGGCUCCUCCAAGAUGGGCUCCAGAGCAGGAGUCCAGUGGCAGUAAUUCCGCAACUGGCAACUGCCAAAGUCCGAAUCAAGCCCUUCCAAAGACUCAACCUCAGUCUCUGCCUCCACAGUCAUAGGA